rnacentral:rRNA from 1 species
GACGAACGCUGGCGGCGUGCUUAACACAUGCAAGUCGAGCGGAAAGGCCCUGCUUUUGUGGGGUGCUCGAGUGGCGAACGGGUGAGUAACACGUGAGUAACCUGCCCUUGACUUUGGGAUAACUUCAGGAAACUGGGGCUAAUACCGGAUAGGAGCUCCUGCUGCAUGGUGGGGGUUGGAAAGUUUCGGCGGUUGGGGAUGGACUCGCGGCUUAUCAGCUUGUUGGUGGGGUAGUGGCUUACCAAGGCUUUGACGGGUAGCCGGCCUGAGAGGGUGACCGGUCACAUUGGGACUGAGAUACGGCCCAGACUCCUACGGGAGGCAGCAGUGGGGAAUAUUGCACAAUGGGCGGAAGCCUGAUGCAGCAACGCCGCGUGCGGGAUGACGGCCUUCGGGUUGUAAACCGCUUUCGCCUGUGACGAAGCGUGAGUGACGGUAAUGGGUAAAGAAGCACCGGCUAACUACGUG